rnacentral:misc_RNA from 1 species
GAUCAUUACCGAGUGAGGGCCCUUUGGGUCCAACCUCCCACCCGUGUUUAUUUUACCUUGUUGCUUCGGCGGGCCCGCCUUUACUGGCCGCCGGGGGGCUCACGCCCCCGGGUCCGCGCCCGCCGAAGACACCCUCGAACUCUGUCUGAAGAUUGAAGUCUGAGUGAAAAUAUAAAUUAUUUAAAACUUUCAACAACGGAUCUCUUGGUUCCGGCAUCGAUGAAGAACGCAGCGAAAUGCGAUACGUAAUGUGAAUUGCAAAUUCAGUGAAUCAUCGAGUCUUUGAACGCACAUUGCGCCCCCUGGUAUUCCGGGGGGCAUGCCUGUCCGAGCGUCAUUGCUGCCCUCAAGCCCGGCUUGUGUGUUGGGCCCCGUCCUCCGAUUCCGGGGGACGGGCCCGAAAGGCAGCGGCGGCACCGCGUCCGGUCCUCGAGCGUAUGGGGCUUUGUCACCCGCUCCGUAGGCCCGGCCGGCGCUUGCCGAUCAACCCAAAUUUUUAUCCAGGUUGACCUCGGAUCAGGUAGGGAUACCCGCUGAACUUAAGCAUAUCAAUAA